GGGAAUAUUGGACAAUGGGCGCAAGCCUGAUCCAGCCAUGCCGCGUGAGUGAAGAAGGCCUUAGGGUUGUAAAUCUCUUUCGGCGGGGAAGAUAAUGACGGUACCCGCAGAAGAAGCCCCGGCUAACUCCGUGCCAGCAGCCGCGGUAAUACGGAGGGGGCUAGCGUUGUUCGGAAUUACUGGGCGUAAAGGGCACGUAGGCUGGCUGUUAAGUCGGGGGUGAAAUCCUGAGGCUCAACCUCAGAAUUGCCUCCGAUACUGGCGGUCUUGAGUGCGGGAGAGGUGAGUGGAAUUCCCAGUGUAGAGGUGAAAUUCGUAGAUAUUGGGAAGAACACCAGUGGCGAAGGCGGCUCACUGGCCCGCAACUGACGCUGAGGCACGAAAGCGUGGGGAGCGAAC
rnacentral:rRNA from 1 species